ACUUUGCCUUUCAUCCUUUCGGGAUAUCUUCUUUGAACUGUCAGAUGUGAGUUUACCUGGAAAGGAACAAUGCAGUUAUUAAUAAGGAGAGUUGAAAUUAAUGUAUGCAUAAUUUCAUGGCUCUAGCAUCACUCCUUCAUAGUCAGCCAAUGAACUUUUCAGCCC